GAUGAACGCUGGCGGCGUGCCUAAUACAUGCAAGUCGAGCGAACAGACGAGGAGCUUGCUCCUCUGACGUUAGCGGCGGACGGGUGAGUAACACGUGGAUAACCUACCUAUAAGACUGGGAUAACUUCGGGAAACCGGAGCUAAUACCGGAUAAUAUAAUGAACCGCAUGGUUCAAUAGUGAAAGACGGUUUUGCUGUCACUUAUAGAUGGAUCCGCGCCGCAUUAGCUAGUUGGUAAGGUAACGGCUUACCAAGGCAACGAUGCGUAGCCGACCUGAGAGGGUGAUCGGCCACACUGGAACUGAGACACGGUCCAGACUCCUACGGGAGGCAGCAGUAGGGAAUCUUCGGCAAUGGGCGAAAGCCUGACGGAGCAACGCCGCGUGAGUGAUGAAGGUCUUCGGAUCGUAAAACUCUGUUAUUAGGGAAGAACAAAUGUGUAAGUAACUAUGCACGUCUUGACGGUACCUAAUCAGAAAGCCACGGCUAACUACGUG
rnacentral:rRNA from 1 species